GACGAACGCUGGCGGCGUGCCUAAUACAUGCAAGUAGAACGCUGAAGAGAGGAGCUUGCUCUUCUUGGAUGAGUUGCGAACGGGUGAGUAACGCGUAGGUAACCUGCCUGGUAGCGGGGGAUAACUAUUGGAAACGAUAGCUAAUACCGCAUGAUAUUAAUUGUCGCAUGAUAAUUAAUUGAAAGAUGCAAUUGCAUCACUACCAGAUGGACCUGCGUUGUAUUAGCUAGUUGGUGAGGUAACGGCUCACCAAGGCGACGAUACAUAGCCGACCUGAGAGGGUGAUCGGCCACACUGGGACUGAGACACGGCCCAGACUCCUACGGGAGGCAGCAGUAGGGAAUCUUCGGCAAUGGGGGGAACCCUGACCGAGCAACGCCGCGUGAGUGAAGAAGGUUUUCGGAUCGUAAAGCUCUGUUGUAAAGAGAAAGAAACGGGUGGAG
rnacentral:rRNA from 1 species